rnacentral:lncRNA from 1 species
ACGACAAGCUAAAUAUGACAUUUUUCUAGAAUUAAUAAUUCUGCAACCAAAAAAGCACAGCAAUUAUCUGCUUUUUAAAUAAUCCUAAAAACAGGACAAUGACUUAUUUUUGUCAUAAAAAGAACCUAUAAACACUUAUUUUUUAAUCUAUUUUAUUUCCAAGUGAAAACAACAUUCUUCUAUUCUUUCUUCAACAGGAAAACAGGUUAUGUUACAGUAGUCACUAGGCAGUAGGCAAAACACUUGAUAACUAAAUAUGUAAAAAGAAAUAAAGAAGAGUUUAAAAAAUUACAAAAAUUAAAAUAAAAAUACAAAAAAUAAAAAAUGAAAAUAUCAAACCCCUUCUUCAGAACAAUCCAAACAGGGAGUUAGCGGUUCUUAAUGUAACAGUUCUUAAAGUAACAGCAAGUAACCGGCCACUGUAACCCCAACUUUUCAACAUAGAACUUGAACUCUGGAAGAGAUAAAAGAAAAGACGUAGAUGACUGACUGAAUCCGACUGAGAGAGAGUUACCAAUAUACCGCACUGGUCAGCUCCAAGUUGAAUUUGUAAGUUUGGGUUGGAGUCCCAGUCCCACAGGUAGUGAAAGUAGGUAGUUAUCCUAACCAGCUGAAAGUAUCAAACCUGUUUGUAUAAGCCUGCACAAUACAAGUUAAUCAUCAGCAAAGGAGGAGGCUGCAGCACAUCAUGUACUAAUUAUAAAACAUGUAAAAAUAACGCAUUUUACCAGUCACAAAACCAUUUUUUCUUUAGAGAUAAUCUCCCCAUAGCAGCUAUAGAUAUGGAAAAAAAAAAAAUGACCUCAAAGUAGAGCAGUCUCCUCUUUUUCACCAAACAAAUACAACCAUUUCAAUUCACACCUGAGCUGAGAACCAUUCUAGUUUCAAUUUUCAACCAAUGAAACAACCAUAGCAUUCUUACAAAAAUUAAAAAAAAAAAAAGAAAUAACCAUAGAAUAAAAUAAUUCUACUCUAAUUCAAAUAUUGCUUCAGAAUUUAAGAUUUAUGCUAGACACAAUUGGUGUCUAGCAUAAAUCUUGGUCGCUGUAUUGUCUCUCUGCGGCUGGAUUUUUCCGUAGUAUAAAGACCUAACAAUCCAAGGAUGAAGUGGAAAAAGCAUGAUUGUUCUGAAUUACCAAUUCUUUCUAUAGAACCCUUUACUUUGUGUAUAUAACUGAAUACUGUUCUUGAUUCUUUGGAGAAACAUAUUUGUCCUCCUCCUAUACUGGAAAUGAUUAUGAUUUCUCUGGACUUUGUUACUGGAACUUUUAAUUUAUCAGGUUCCAUAAACGGGAAACACUAUCACAAUUAGAGUGUGUGUGUAUAACCAUCCUCUAACAAAGUGAGGAUCCCUAUAAAAAACCAAAAAAAAAAAAAAACAGAUUUUAUUCUCAUUUUGUUAAAGUGAAGAUGUCACUAGAAUACAAAAAAACACAUAUUUCAAUACAUUAAAAAUUGUAUCUGUUAGUGUAUUGAAUUUUUUUUUUUUAUUUACUGUAGUGCCAGACUCUUUCUACAAAAGUGAAACAGAUCAUUCUUGUUAAUUUCCCCAGAUGAUCAGUUUCUUUGGUAAACAACUCUAGCACUUAUAGCCACUGGGACUUCAUACAAUAAAAAACACAUAAUGGUGAAGUUAGACCAAGAAAAAUAAGCUAUUGGAAUUGAGUAAUACCAUGAGAACCACAUUGCUUUCCAUAACAAUGACUAGAGGCAUCAAGCAUGAUCAAAAUAACAGCAUGGGAAAUAAUCUCUCAGCCACUUAUAAGUCAUUAAUCAAAAGCAUGCACCUUUAAGAUGGCAAAAAUUUAUAUACACACACACAGUUCAAUCUCACUAGAGUUUCAGAAACUAGCAUUAUCGAGAUUAUGCCCUUCAUCUCUAUGCUUAGUCAUUGGUACACAUCCGUGUCAAAAGCUAGCCAUUCCCAAGUCCAAACGGAUGACAAAAAGUGAACAUUGUCCCAGAGACAAGAAACUUGGUCUUCCCUCUUAUCUUCAAAAAUGCAAUCUUGCCAAGUAACCCAAAAAAGAGCUAGAACAUCACACUGCCAGAGAUCCUUAGCUUUCUUUCCUUGCCCAAAAGCAAAAACAUUUUCCAUUAGCAAAGAGCUACAAGAACUUGGAGCGUCCCAAAAUCAAUAACAUAAUUGAGAAUCAAUGCAUGCAUCCGCAAGCAUUUAUUUAGUAUGAAAACCAAUUUUUAAUUUCUGACAGACUUAAUUGCCCAAAUUCUACCAGGCAUUUCAGUUAACCUGCCCGAAAUACAAUCCACAGGUGCAUUUAAAUCAGUUGGGCUAUUUAAAUGAAAUACAGGACCUACAAACCUCAUUGAAUUGCUACCAAAAGUACUCCAUGCCAAACAAUCAACACAUGAAAUACAGGACCUUCAGACAGAGGAAAUAUGGCUGAAGAAGAAAUUAAAAACCCAUAGAAGCACUACAUACUUCUAAUACUAAUAAUGGAACAAAACAACAUCACAAUACACUCAAUGUACCAUUAGAGGAAUAAAUCCAUACCAAUGACGAGCUAAAUAUGACAUUUUUCUAGAAUUAAUAACUCUGCAAACAAAAAAGCAUGGUAGUUAUCUGCAUUUUAAAUAAUCCUGAAAACAGGGCAAUGACUUAUUUAUGUCAUAAAAAGAACCUACAAACACUUAUUUUUAAUCUAUUUUAUUUCCAAGCAAAAACAACAUUCUUCUAUUCAUUCUUCAACAAAAAAACAGGUUAUGUUACAGUAGUCACCAGGCAGCAGGCAAAACACUUGAUGACUAAAUAUAUAAAAAGAAAUAAAAAAAGCUAAAAAAUCACAAAAAUUAAAAAUUGAAAAUAAAAAAAGAUUAAAAAAGAAACAGCAUUUAAAAAAUGAAAAAGUCAAACCCUUCUUCAGAAAAAUCCAGACAGUAAGUAAUAUUCCACUGAAACCGCAACCCAAUAUCUGAAUUUUUUUUUUUUGGGGGGGGGGGGGGGAGGGGGGUAAGAAUUAUUUUCAACAUAGAACUUGAACUCUGGAAGAGUUAAAAGGAAAAGACGUAGAUUACUCACUGAGUCUGACUGAGAGAGAGUCGCCAGUAUACCGCACCGGUCAACUCCCAGUUGAACUUGCAAGUUUGGGUUCGAGUCCCAGUCCGACGGGUAGUGAAAGCACGUAAUGAUGCUAAUCAGCUGAAGUAUUAAAACCUGUUUGUAUAAGCCUGCACAUUACAAGUUAAUCAUCAGCAAAGGAGGGGGCUGCAGCAAGAAACAACACAUCAUGUACUAAUUAUAAAACAUGUAAACUUAACGUAUUUUACCAGUCACAAAGCCCCUUUUCUUUAGAGAUAAUCUCCCCAGAGCAACUAUAAAUAUGAGAAAAAAAAUGACCACAAAGUAGAACCAUCCCCUCUUUUUCUCCAAACAAAUACAACCAUUUCAUUUCACAUAGAACCAUUCUAGUUCCAAGUUUCAACCAAUGAAACAACCAUAGUAUUCUUAUAAAAAUAAAAAAUGAAAUAACCAUAGAAUAAAAUAAUUAUACUCUAAUUCAAAUAUUGCUUCAGAAUUUACGAUUUAUGCCAGUUUCAGUUGCUCAAAAAUAUGGAAUUGGAAUGAUGCAUUUAUUUAACCCAAAACGUGAAUACCAAGCUUCAGAUUCUUACAUAUUGAAAUGAUCAAAUUUCAUUCAUUCUGAACAUGGGAUACAACUUCAACUAUUUCAAGUUAUUCCAAGAGAAAGCAUUAAAAGAAAUUUGUUCAUCCUACGUGGUAUAAGUAGCAUACUUCAGCUAGUAUUAUGCAUCAUCGGUUAAAUCAUUUGGAUUAUUAACAUUGAUAUUUUUUAUUAGCUGAAUUAAUAACUGUUGCACCCCUAACUUAAGGGCACUUGUGAUAAGAAAAAUUUAUCAACAUCAGGUGCAAAUAUAAGCUUUUAACAAUGAAGCUGUGACUGUUUGCUUACAAGAACAAACAUAUACUAAUAGAGAUGAAUAAAACCCAGAACUUCAAGAAAUAUUUGACGUUAUCUCCCCUAGAAUACGGAUAUUAUCCAAUAUAUCAAACCAACAAUUUUUAUACCCAGCUGCUUAAAACUUCAAAAAAUCGGUCAGCACAACAUUUAGGAUCUCUGGGACCCUAUCACUACGACACUAACAAUUAUAAGUGCGUCCUACUGAUGUUGCGUAGUUAUUAUAAAUACAUGUAUUAAAAAGCAUAAUAUCCAUAACAAGGUAGCUUACAAAGUUUACUAGGCCAGCAAUGCUAAAGUACAACCAGAACAAUAACAAAACAUACGAAGACUGUUCUUCAUUACAAAACACAACUUUCGAAAGAGGUAAUCUCCAUGUUAAGCCCCAAAUCAAAAUCAAUCCUCCACUGACCACAAUUUUUUCACCAUCAUUGCCCAAACCUGAAAAGUAAGGGCUGAGCUAAUGGCCCGUAACACAAAGGAUUUCUUUUUUUCUUUUAACACCAAAAUAAUUCACACAACUUGGGUACAUUUCUAGCAUAAGCCAUUUAUUUAUAUAUAAAUAUAUAAAUUAUUUCUUAAAACAUUUUGAGUUUGAAAGUUUUGGUAUUCAAUAGAAACAUCAUAAGACAAGAUCAUAACAUACCCUAGGGUUACUCAUACUUUCUGAAGUUACAUGUAAAGAAAUCCUAAAAUUACUCUUUCAAUAAUACAAAAUAAAAACAUGCCUGACAAGUCAGUAAGCUGUAAAUCCAACCAUAGAACAUGUCAUAAGGAAGGCACAAGCAGAGGAAAGAUCUUCAAUGCCUCAGUGUGAUGACAAUCAUCAUGAAACAAUAUCAACAGAUGUGUUUUAGGGAUACAUCUCAUAUAACAACCUUCAAAUGAUAUUAAUAUACAGCGAUAGAUCGAUAUAAAAUAAAUAACUCCAUAAAGCCAUAAAGAAAGAGUUUACAUUUGUGUUGGGGGUGGGGGGAGUUGGGGAGGAAGGAAGUAUGUAAAGUCUCUCAAAUUCUUUACUCAUGGUGUAAUAGAUUCUCCGAUAUACAUAAUGUAUAAUGCUGUUAAAAGAAGCCCUGAACUUAGAAUUACUUCCCCCUCCUCAUAUUCUUAGUUAUAAUAAGGCAUGAGUGAGUUUUGGUAUAUUUAAUGGGAUAUUGAAUGGUCUUUACCCCCAUUUUAUCUUGCAAUUACAAAACCAUGAAAGCCUCUUGCAAAACCUGAAUUUAGAUGAAUGGACUUCAAAUGAAAGGAUUUUCUUGCAAAAACUACAAAAUACAAUGGCAUAGUGAAAACGGGAAAAUGAAAAUAUAAAGCAAAAGAAAAAGUUUCCAUCUGAUAAAACAAAUACAAAAAAAUCCAAGUUUCUUAUUUGCCAUGCCAAUAUUAUUCAUGAAGAACUAAUCUAAUUUCUUUUCCAGACAAGGUUAGUAACAAUUUAUCUGUAAAUAACUGAACCAACUUGGUUACUACGACAUUACUCUUUCGCUUCUGCACUCAUUUUCUGCACAGUUGCAGUUCAUCAACGGCCGCGUUCACCAAAACGAGUCCACUCUCCCCACUUCACUUAUUUCCCCACCAUUUAAUGUCUCUCAAAGUGCAGCAGCAAGACAUGAACUCCUAUCAUUAUGAGCAAUAUAAAAAGCCCUCCUAAAAAAUCCACCACCUGUUUGGCCAGAAAAACUCCAUUACUCAUUUCCACACUCUCAAUUUUCACCCCUUUCAUCGGAACACAAGCAUUACUUACCCAUGUUUAGACAUAAUUUAUUUUUCUGAUAUCACAUCAUUCAGGGGAAAAAAAAAACAGACUUCAGCACAUAACAUAAAUUACAACAAGCUGGUCAAUUCACAUAAACAAGGAAAAAUUAACUCAAUAAAGUGAAGUAGGCACAAAAUGACCUCAAUGAGAUAUCAGAGACCUCUAAAAUCAAAUCAAAUUCAGUUAAACAAAGAAUCACUCAUCCAAGAUAAGCAAAAGAAUAAAAGCAAUGAAUAACAGAAAGAAAUUUCUUAUAAAAAUUCAAUUAAAAAAAAAAAGCUAAUAAUCUUUUCUGGUUAAGUGAUUUCGUCCGCAAAUAAGACAAAAUAGAAAUUCUGAAAUAUACCUAGGGUUUCUAGCUUUGGGAAUUUACCUUAUGAGAAAUCAGUCUCUCUGUUUCUAGAUUUGUAACUUUAGUAUCAUGGCGAAGCGACCUCACUCAGCUGAGAUAAUCGGAUUUCGCACCGGCGACGAUGCAAAUGUUGGGGUUUGGGCUCGACGACAGACAUAGGAGUGUUGGGGUUUUGGGUGAUUUAAGGAUUUUCUUUUAUUCAAGUAAAGUGACCAAAUUAACCUUUCAAAAUAAUUAAAGUAUCCCUAAGUUGUUACACAUUAAUGUCUAGAAUAGUUAAUUAAAUUUCUGCUCAUGGAUUUAUAUGGUACAAGUGAGUUCGUGUGGGGAAAAACGAAUAACAGGCUAAAAGGAAAAUUCGACGCAAAAUUUUAUUAGUACAAGCAUUACGUAAAUACAUUAUUGAAUAUGCCUUUUUUUUCCUGGGAUAAUCAUAUUAUAAGUGACAAAUAAUACAACAAAAGAAUAGAAGUACAAGUAGAAAGGCAGUAUCUAGGUUGUCUGCUACUCGGCUUCUAGUUCCACCCAAGAUACAUCUUCGUUCAGGUAACCAAGCACAGACUCUGUUACUGCUAUAACUAAUUUAUCACAUGACCAUAAUUUCCAGAACACCUUGCGCUUGUCCAAUGGGUUGUUCAACUUGAGGAGGAGCUAGCAGAUGGGCGUUGACAGAGGUGACAAUGAAGACAGCGAGACGUCGAAGCCAGUAGAGGAAUUGCUGAAACAGAGAAGCUAACAUUGCAUAACAGAGUGAUAAGAUUAUGAGGCACAAAUAGGCUACCAAAAACAGAGACGGAGCCAAAAUGACAGAGGCAACUGCUGAGACAGCCAACAGAACAGAGAGUUCUCCACAACUCACGCAAAUGGGUCGGCUCACUUUGAGAGGAACUCUGAUGGGUGUGAGGAUGAAGAGCAGUAAUGGGAUAAAAAGAACAUACAAAUGCUUAUUUUUAAUCUAAUUUUAUUUCCAACCAAAAGCAACAUUCUUCUAUAGGUUAUAUUACAGUAGUCACUAGGCAAUAGGCAAAACACUUGACAACUAAAUAUAGCAAGAAAUAAAAAAGAGUUUAAAAAAAAUCAAAAAAAUUAAAAAUUGAAAAUAAAGAAAAGAUUAAAAAAGAAACUGUAUUAAA